rnacentral:lncRNA from 1 species
AUAUUGUUUAUCUUCCAAGUUGCAACUCUAAUGCUUCUUUUCAAAGAGAUGUAACCACUUUUUAUAGGUAAUAUCAACACCCACAAUCUCUUUGGCCAAGUUUCAAUUGUUCCACACAUAGUACGAUUUAGGCUCAACUCAUAGCGGGUAGCACUGUUAAUGGUCAUUCACUCUAAUCUUGAUUCUAGUAAGAGUCUAUAGGGAAUAGAACAAUCCCAUAGCCACGGCCUCAUGGCGACUCUUACAUAGGUGAGUCCUUCCAAGGAUGUGUGUGAUCCACACCUCGCGAGAGUUCUCGCAUCGGUACUCAUUCAGGGUUAGACCCUUCCUAAUAUCACAUUAUUAUUAGCACUAUAUCACCAUCGGAAUGAGCACAAAUAAAUAGUGCUAUUACAAGUCACGCGGUACAAGUUAUUUCUACCAUAUUGAACCUUUUUCAUGGGAUCUCCAAUCACAAAGAUUGGGUUACUCCCGGGGGUGACUUCUUUAUGGGCUUAAACUCAUCUCCCUCGAUGAUUUAUAUAUGUCCAUCUCAGACUACAUAUAUUCAUGUCCCUCUUGAACAAUAAAUUGGUACCACUAAUUUACAAAGCUUUCUUCUUCACCUGCCCAUUGCAUAUUUACAAAGUUAUCUAAAAAUUUUCCAAAAUGUCAAUAUCACAUAUAUAAUUAUAAUAAAAUAACGUCAUGGUCUCAUAUUAGCUUUUAGUAACAUGUUUGGGGAGAUGCAUCCAUUAAACUCUUACAUUUCACCUAUAAUCUUCAAAUUCAUUUCUAGCACUAUUCAAGAGUUAGUUUUCAACUAGGAAAAUAAGGAUGUAUCUAUAUCAAACACCUCCACAUUCCAAAGAUAUCCAUCAUUGUGGAGUUUCUUUUAAAUUUUCUAUGUCUGCAAAUACUUUUAAUCACUUUUACAAAGUAUUAGCCUCACAAUAAAUAAGGAUAACUUGGAUAGAUUUAAAUAAAAGUAUGACAUUUUGAUAUUCAUCUAACUUCUUUUCAAGCAUUGACCAAAGACAAGAGAACCCUAUCAAAUAGUUUAAUACCCCUACAUUUCAAGGAUAUCCAACUCGAAUUGAGUAAGUAUAUGAUCUUACUAUUUAUCUCUUUCAAUAGGAUUAAGCAUUGUGAGGAGAUGAUUGAUGCAGAUAUUUAUCAACUUCACACUUUCAUGACUUCUAUAAUCCAAUAUGGUAACAAAGUCUUCUUUAAAUGCAUUUGCAAAAUAUUAGUCAAAACGCUAAAUAAUAAUCACCUUUAAAAACUAAAUCACAAAUUAAUGAUCAAGAAAUCAUAUAAUUUUGUUGAAUAUGAAAGAAAUGAGUGAAACAAACUACAAGGUAGGAUCAAUUCUCCAUUCACUCAUUACAAUUACAACCUUAAACAACUAAAUUCUCAAAUAUACAUUAUGGUAAAAUUGGCAAUAAGGAAGGUAUAAAGAAAACAGGGACUAAUUCGUACCAUUUUUGUUUAUGUACCACAUAUUGUCCUAUGAUCGGGAAGAUUCUUAAAAUGACUCGAUUGGGAUAAUUUAGUGACCAUUGAUAAAAUUCACUCUUUUCUCCAAUUAUAUAUGCACAAACAGUAACAAACAGAAAACAGAUACAUAUACUAGAAGCACAAAAAUGGAUGUUGUUCUUUUUAUUUUUAUUUAUUUAUUUAUUUAUUUUUAUUUGUUUUUAUUUUUAUUUUUUUGUUCAAAUCCAUUUGCUUCCUUUGUUUAUUAGUUUGUACUUAUUUCAUACAUUCGCACAAACCAUACCACCAAACACAAAUAGCAACUAAGAGAAGACAUACAAGUGAUU